rnacentral:ncRNA from 1 species
UAUCCUGGACGACCCGGAUAAACGCCAUCUUAUUGGGGACGGCCCCA